GACGUAGGAUGCGAGCGUUAUUCGGAUUUAUUGGGCGUAAAGCGUGCGUAGGCGGCUGUUUAAGUCUGGUGUUAAAGCUAGGGGCUCAACCCCUGUGGUGCAUCGGAUACUGGGCAGCUUGAGUGCGGUAGGGGAAGGUGGAAUUCCGAGUGUAGCGGUGAAAUGCGUAGAGAUCGGAAAGAACACCAACGGCGAAAGCACUCUGCUGGGCCGACACUGACACUGAGAGACGAAAGCUAGGGGAGCGAAUGGG
rnacentral:rRNA from 1 species